rnacentral:rRNA from 1 species
UGGGGAAUUUUGGACAAUGGGCGAAAGCCUGAUCCAGCAAUGCCGCGUGUGUGAAGAAGGCCUUCGGGUUGUAAAGCACUUUUGUCCGGAAAGAAAUCCUUGGCUCUAAUACAGUCGGGGGAUGACGGUACCGGAAGAAUAAGCACCGGCUAACUACGUGCCAGCAGCCGCGGUAAUACGUAGGGUGCAAGCGUUAAUCGGAAUUACUGGGCGUAAAGCGUGCGCAGGCGGUUUGCUAAGACCGAUGUGAAAUCCCCGGGCUCAACCUGGGAACUGCAUUGGUGACUGGCAGACUAGAGUAUGGCAGAGGGGGGUAGAAUUCCACGUGUAGCAGUGAAAUGCGUAGAGAUGUGGAGGAAUACCGAUGGCGAAGGCAGCCCCCUGGGCCAAUACUGACGCUCAUGCACGAAAGCGUGGGGAGCAAACAGGAUUAGAUACCCUGGUAGUCCACGCCCUAAACGAUGUCAACUAGUUGUUGGGGAUUCAUUUCCUUAGUAACGUAGCUAACGCGUGAAGUUGACCGCCUGGGGAGUACGGUCGCAAGAUUAAAACUUAAAGGAAUUGACGGGGUCAUAGCUGUUUCCU